rnacentral:rRNA from 1 species
UACGUAGGGCGCGAGCGUUGUCCGGAUUUAUUGGGCGUAAAGAGCUCGUAGGCGGCUUGUUGCGUCGGUCGUGAAAACCUGCAGCUCAACUGCGGGCUUGCGGUUGAUACGGGCAGGCUAGAGUUCGGUAGGGGAGACUGGAAUUCCUGGUGUAGCGGUGAAAUGCGCAGAUAUCAGGAGGAACACCGGUGGCGAAGGCGGGUCUCUGGGCCGAUACUGACGCUGAGGAGCGAAAGCGUGGGGAGCGAACAGG